CGAAAGCCUGACGGAGCAAUACCGCGUGCGGGAGGAAGGCCCUUGGGUCGUAAACCGCUUUUCUUAGGGAAGAAACCUGACGGUACCUAAGGAAUAAGCCUCGGCUAACUCCGUGCCAGCAGCCGCGGUAAUACGGAGGAGGCAAGCGUUAUCCGGAAUUAUUGGGCGUAAAGAGUCCGUAGGUGGUUCAUCAAGUCUGCUGUUAAAGCGUGCAGCUCAACUGCAUAUAGGCAGUGGAAACUGUUGAACUAGAGUAUGGUAGGGGUAGGGGGAAUUCCCAGUGUAGCGGUGAAAUGCGUAGAGAUUGGGAAGAACACCGGUGGCGAAAGCGCCCUACUGGGCCAUAACUGACACUGAGGGACGAAAGCUAGGGUAGCG
rnacentral:rRNA from 1 species